UGGCAUCAUUCAUAAAAAGCUUAUAGACAUAGAUAAUUUCUUAAUCCUGCACUGCUUCUCACCAGUGAGAUUGUAGAUGUGGUAUUUUGAGAAUACCAGUGUAAUUCACUGGUCCAAAAGCUCCAUUUCUUAAUGUGUUUUUGCAGAAUGCUACCAGUAAUGUUUUUCUUUUCCUUAAUGUACAAACAUAUCUACUAGAUAUGAUUUUGGAUCUGAACUUUUCCCUGUCUGCAGCUCACAUUGUGGUAUGGUCAUGGUACAGCAAAAGGAAAAGAUGUUUAAACUUUUUUUGGGCGUCAUACAUGAAAAGUACCUUUAUUUCCAUCGAGCUUAAUUACUAAGAAAAUGUUACCACUAUUUCCUUACUAAUAAACCUAAAUGUUCUGAAAGUUCGGUCUCUUGCUCUCUUUGCUUAUGAAUCGGACACUUUCCCUUUCUUUAGUCCUUACACGGUUCCACCUCGCUUUGACGUCAUACUUUGAUGGUGUUUGUAGGUAUGAAGACUUGAAGAGUGGUCAUAAUGUUACUUAAAGGAGGCCUCAACUUGCACCAAAUACAUGGGCAUGUGCAACAGCAACUUAUGUAGGUGAGUAGGUAUUUAUGCUUAGUUUUGACUUGAGUACAAAAAAGAGCUUGCUGACAUAUACAAGAGAAUAGGCUACCCAUUCUUGAAUUGAAUCAGAUUGGUAGACUAAACCACUGUGGUGUACUCUUCGCUGCUGAGUUAUUACAAUCCAACUGAAAAUAAGGGGAAAACAAACAUGAUCCUGCCAUUUAAAUUAUCUCAUGUUUGUGGAGAAAAGUUGCAUAGUUAGCUAUUGCAAAAUACUAUCAACCCAGUUUUUGUUCAAUAGACGUCCCUUCUUCAAAUGUAGCUUGAACCUGCGCAAGGGCAUGGUAGCAUGCUCAUUCUAUUUUUUUUACUAAGGUGGUUACACUUCCCUACUUUUUGCUAAAAGAGAGUCAAUUUUGUCAUGAGCUAUUGCGGCGUUUCUGUUUACUGAAUUUCGUUUUGCAGUUCCCUUCUCUUGAAUGUUUAUUCAAAUGUGCCUAAUGUUUUUUUAGGUUUCUAAAAACUAAUAAAUGCUGCUCUCAAAUCAGUUAGGAGGCUGAAGGUAGUAGCUUACUGAACUCUCAUUUCCGGAAAAAUUUGGAGAUGUCUUGGUAUGGAGUUUCAUGAUCAACUUGCUCUGGCAUAGUUAGUCUUUCUAGACUAAUUGUUUGUCAGUAUCUAUUCUAUACAUGUGUUUGAUUGGUUGUGCAAACAUGCAUGCAUUGUUCUGUGUGGAAAUUGCUUUAUCCGGUCUGUUCUAUAGCAAUGUUUCCAGUGGCUGUUUAGCACAUAUAUUUAGAUAGUUGCAUACGCAUGCUUGUUUCUGCCAGAAAAUUAUCUUACCUGAUAUGUUUUCAGAUGCUAUUUGGUAUACAUGUUUGUCUUUGUCAUGUUUAUGUUGAGUUGUGGGUUCCAAAGGUAUUUAUGAUGAUCGUUUGCAUGGUGGGUCAUGUCAGCGAUGUGCAUUGCAUAUUCAUGAUUCAAACUCUUUGUUGGGUAUAGAUCUAUAUGAAGUUGUUUUUGAAUGGCCCAUGAUUCGUUUUUUAUUAGUAUUUUAGUUUAAGCAUUUCUCCAGAGAAUCUUGAUAUCCAGCUGUAUAUAUAUCCAGUCAUGUUUUUUUACUCUGACCAAUUUCUUUUUUUGUUUUACAGUUUGUACAAUCUCUAAAGAUGGUGCUCCAUUGUUNNN
rnacentral:lncRNA from 1 species